ensembl:lncRNA
CACAGACAUGACGGAAACCCAGCCUCAGUAAUGCUGAUCAGGGAAUGCACAUCAGGGAAUGGUAAUGCAGCAGAAAGGAAGCUACUUGUGUCCUUCAAUGACCUUCACCACCUGGACUGGCGGGGCCUGUAAUGUGAGAAAUACAUUUCUAUCCAUAAUGGGCAUUAUCAUGAGGCCCAUGUUUAAGAGUAAGGAAGCUGAAGCUCCCAGUUGUUAUAUGAUUUGCCCAGGAUCAGAGAGCAAUGAAGUGGCAGAGCCAGGACUCACACCAGGUUUCUGGGCACCCACGCCCACCCACCUGUGCCUGCACGUCUUUACUAGACUCUGUCAGAAGGCUUUGAUGAAGAUAAAUAACUGUUCUUAUAAGAAAGAGGCAGAGGAAGACCUGAUAUACAGAGAAGAGCAAGUUACAUGACCAUGAGACAACUUUCAGGGAUGUGGCCACAAGCCAAGGGAUGCUGGCAACCUUCAGAACUCAGGUGGAUCAAGAAAUGGAUUCCUCCCUUAGAGUCUCUGAAGUAAGUGCAGCCCUUGAUUUUUGCACAGUGAAAAUGAUUUUGGACUUCUGGCUUCAAGAUCUGUAAGAUAAUACAUUUCUAUUGUUUUAAGCCACCGGUUUGUGGUAAUUUGUUUCAGUAAGAUCAGGAAAUUAACACAUUGGUCAUGACUGUGGAUUCUCUUCUCACAGGCCUCUAUUAGCCUAACCUAAGGGGAAAGAGCAAGGAGAAGAAGAAAAAGAAAAAUUAAGAAAGAGAAUGCAAGCAAGAAAUAGAGGAGAAAAGAGAAGAAUCAGGGGAAAAAGAGGAGAAAUCACUCACUAAAUGGUGUAGGUCAUGUGUGAAUCAUAUUGAGAAGUUCAAAUAGCCCCUAAAUUCCACUUCUAUCAAUAUAGUGGGUAUUACAGCUAUGUCUAGGCCUGGGUCAGAAGAGGAAUUUGUCUUGAAAACAUCUGCAUGAUUCAUCCAAUAGUUGCAAUGUAGCUUACUGAAAUUUUUCUAUCAAGGUUACUAAUGACCUCUUUUCAUUUAAAAAACAGUAACCACAUAGUCAUCAAGUUCUUUACACUGACUUGCCAAACCAUGUAUCUUUCAAAAUUCUGCUCAUAACCUGCUUCUACAAAAUCUUCCCUGAACUUUAUUGUUUUUCCAUUUUCUGAAUUCCUAUUAUACUCACAGGAAGUAUGUCUGUUAUUUCUGCCCCUCUAGAAAGAGGCCAGAAAUGCUUCCUGCAAAUGUCCCAGAAGGUACAAAACACCCACACCAGCAAAUAAUUAUAUUCCUAUACCUCCUAUCAGCAAUUUGCUGAAGGAUGGUCUGUAAUGGUAUCUUAUGGUGACUGAUUAUCCACUACUUAAUGCAUAUAGUCUCAUCUCCUUCAAUUCUACCUAUUUAUUGUAUUACACAAUGAUGAAUGAUAAUUGAAUUACGUCCCUGAGGCAUGCUAAAUCUAAAUCAUAAAAAAUACAUUGACAAAAUGCAUUGUCUUGCCGGUUAAGAAAAUCCACUCAUACAUUUCAGAAAAAUUUCCAACUGGAGGAGUUAAGGCCAGAAAGCAUUUCUCAUUUAUUCUAAUUAAACCCCAAAAUGCAAUUAACUGCAACCCCUCAAGUCUCUAAUAUUCAAAGCAUCUGAAGAUUGACUUUAUUACCAGAAGAGUUACAAGUUUGUCUAAAAUACACCUGAAGGUACCUGCUUUCUGGUAUUUAUUUCCCAUUAUGUGGCAAGUCUUAUACAAAUGUAAGCUUAUUUCUUUGAUAUAUGUUUCUGGCUUAACAUUUCCAAAAGGAAAGUGUGACUUUGGGGGCCUAUUUAUACUUUUCAUAUUGCACAUCUGCAUCCAGUGCAAGUGAAACUUGAAGCUCAGUUCAGCAAAGGCACAUUAUGGCAUUCCCAUCAUGUAAAAGCAGUGAAUAUAAACCACAUCACACAAUUAAGAGUCACAAACCCAGAGAAUGGUAAUAAAUUAAAUGAAACAAGUGAACUAAUUAACAUACUUUCAAAACAGAAAACUGAGACUUAAAACAUUAUAUACCUUAGCGAAAUAACAGCUGCUCUUAUUAAAAACCUUAUAUUCCAUUAGUAUGAUAUUUUGUAAUUUAUUGCUUUUCCCACCUUGGAAAAAUUAUGUUACAGUUAUGCCGGCCAUAUUAACAUUUUUUGGUCUUUUAUAAGCAGCAGCUUUUGGAAACUGGACAUUUAGCUAGCCAUUAAGUCAGAUGCUUAAGAAAAGCUUUCUUUUUUUUUUUUUUCUGGCGCUUUCAGAAUGCUCCAAAGGAAUGAUUCAGAAAAAUCAUAAAAGGAUUAAUUCAUAAUGAUCAAAUGAUGAACUUCCUAAAAUGUAAGUAUACCCCUUUCCACCUAAUGUGUUAUCUAAAGCAUGAUACAGCCACUACAUUCACAUUUCUAUUUUGAUGACUUUAAUUAGUCCAGAAUAAUGAUUAGGCUCAAAAGGCCCACACACCCCAGAAAGGUUAGAUGGUUUUAAGGAGGGAAAAGGGUCCUUGACUGGACUGAUAUUACCAGGUUCCUUGUUUCAACUUUCCGAAGAGAAGCCUAUAGGUUGUAGCUGGUUUUCCUGUUUGCUCAUGAUAAAAUGCUUAAUAUUCUACUACCACCUUCUGACAUCUGUAAACUUCACUGUCAUCCUGAGAAAACUCUGUCCCUGAAGGGGAAAAUCAUUUUUUUUUUCACCCAGGCCCUUUUCCCUUGCAUUAAUAUUAAUAUCCCAUGAGAAUAUUAGCUCUGAAGGAAAGAAUUUGGUGGCAAAAAUCCACAUUUACUCAUGAAAUCCACCCCCAACAUCCACUCACACACAUUAGUAGGACAGUCAGAAGAAAAGCUCCCCCAUUGCCACCACCCUCUGGUUCCUUUUUCUGUCUUUUUUUUUUUUUUGCCAUUUCUUGGGCCACUCCCGCGGCAUAUGGAGGUUCCCAGGCUAGGGGUCUAAUCGGAGCUUCAGCUGCUGGCCUAUGCCAGAGCCACAGCAACGCGGGAUCCGAACCACGUCUGCAACCUACACCACAGCUCACGGCAACGCCGGAUCCCUAACCCGCUGAGCAAGGGCAGGGAUUGAACCUUCAACCUCAUGGUUCCUAGUAGGGUUCGUUAACCGCUGCGCCACGACGGGAACUCCUGCCACCACCCGCUGAAUGCCCUCUCUGUUUCUUCUGACCCUCACUCUGCUUUCUUUCUUUCUUUUUUUUUUUUUGCUGACCCAAAAACCACUUUUAUUAGCAAAGGCUCUUCCUUAGGAAGAGUACAUUCAUUCAGUAUUUAUUAGGGAAGAAAAGUAUUAAGUUUUCAAAAAAAAUUAGUUGGCACUGGCUAAAAUGUAGAGAUAGGAAAUGGAGUCUACCCGGUCUUCUAGGCUCUAACCCCACCUGACUGCUCUUUCUCUCUUCCCCUGGGCUGCAGGAAGGAUAUAUCAAAACCUAAUGCAUUAUUGAGCCUUGGUAAGAUCUAAGCAAGGUCAGUAGAUUGGACAGCUGUUGCCUCUCCUUUUUCUACAAAUGCUGUUAAAGACUUGGUGGGGGGGAAAAAAAAGAAAGAAACUUCUUAGUGCCACUGAUUCUUUAAAACGAAUUCUGCCCCUUUUUUUUGGUGGGGGGAGGUUGUGCUCAGGGCCAGGGAUCCAACUUGCACCAUAGCAGGGACAACACUGGAUCCAUAACCUGCUGAGCCACCAGAGAACUUCUGAAUUUUGCAUUUUAAAAUAAAAAUGACUACAAUGGCUGUUUGCAAAUGUGGCCAAGUGACAGAGCACAUGUAUUCAAUGUGGACUCUGUACUUACCAAUGAGUGAUCCUCCAUAUUAUUCAACCUCUGUGUGCCUCAAUUUCCUCAUUUGAGAUAUAUUUUUAAAUGAAAAUGAUAACCUCAUAGUGUUAUUGUGAGGAGUAAAUGAGUUAAAACAUGAAAAGCAUUUCAGAAUAGAUCUGGAACUCAGUAAAUAUUUGAUGAAUUAAUACAAUCUAGCAGAGUAAAUAUGCUAAUUCUAGAAUCCAAAAAUGCAACAUCCCUGAUUGUUGCAUAGUUUGAGUGAUCCGUUGCUAUUUAGUAAAUGGAGACAAUAAUUUGAGUUCAUUGGAGAUUUUCAUGGAUGAAGUGGAUCAGGCUUUGAUGGUAAAGAAAAGUAAGAAACUUUUAUGCAGAACCACUGUGUGCCAUGUUCUGACCUUGACAUUUUUCAUGUGCCAUUACCUAAGUCUCCUAACAAUUCUUUUCAAGUAGACAGAAUUAGGUCCACUGUACAGAUUACCUAAAUGAGCUCAGAAAUGUUAAUUACCCCAAAUCACACAGCUAGUAAGUUAGUGGUCAAGGUAGGAUUUUAAUCGUACACCAUUUUAAAACAAAGCAUAACAAAGAAAAAGGAAGAAGGGGAACCAUGCAGCUAAAAUGAUUUUAUGAAAAGGUCAUUAUUGAAUAGAUCAUUGACAAGCACAGUGUAUAAUCUAAAUAUGAUUUGGUAUCUCUUAGAAUUAGUUUCAAGGUAGAGAUUCAGACUACACACCAUUCACUUUUAAUUUAGUGAAGAAUGUUCAUUUCAACAGAAGAUUCACAGACUAUUAGAGAGUGAAAGCGACCCAGAAAAAAAAUUUGGCCCAGUUAACAGCUGAGAGACACAAGAGGUGAAAUGGCAGGCUCAACAUCACACAGGUGAUUAGUGGCCAGGAUUCCUCUGGACCCAACAUUCCUCCCCUUUCAGCAUGCAGGAUUGCCAACUGGGAUACCAUGGUUUUAAAGCCAUCCAUUUAGGCCAGUGAAAAUUCUAGUUCAUUUUAAAUAUCCCAAUUCCUACCUAGCAUUUAAACCUAAAAUGAAUAUUAGAGUGGUUCUUAAAACUCUUUGGGAAGAUAUAAUAAAUAAUAAGAAUAUUCCCUAGUGAAAAUAAGUUUCUGUUUGUAAAAAGUGACCAACAUUCUGGUAUUGUAUAUUGUUAAACAAUAACAAAAAUUACAUAGGUUCUGUGUAGGAGAAGAGCUUUUUAAAGAGAAAAUUCUUUACACAGAAAGGAAUGAAAAAGAUUUUUAACUUUUGUUGUUACUGUUGUUAGAUUGCAUUCAUUCACCAAAUAUUUACUGAGUAUCAAGCAGCUAUAGUAGCAAGAGUCCUAUUUUUAUGUUUAUUUAUUUAUUUUUGCAUAUUUCACAGCACUCUUUACAGUGCUGGGCUUUUGGUAGUCACUGAUUAACUGGUGGUUCCUUCGCCUAUGUUCAGUAUAUUAAGAUAACUUCAGGACAAAGUCACUGAGGUUAUGUCAGCCACUAUUAAUAUCCUCCUACAGAGGUGAAGUAGAGAUGGUUCUUGACUAUUCCAGUCCUUGUGUUGCCCUGAGCCAUGCAGCACAAAAUGUGCUUUCUUAGUUAUAAUAUCAUCAGUAAUGUGAUGUCCAAAAUUUUACAAUUUCUUUCACUGUGCAUACAUCAAGAGCUUAUAAUCAAUAAUGUUAUCUGCUAGCUGGCAAGCAACAGGUAGUGUGAUGGUAGCCACACUAAAACAAACAAACAACAAACAAAAAGUCUGUACUAAUUAUGCCAGAAAACACAGCUCUAUAUAUCACAUGGCCAAACUUUGUCAAUGUGAGUUAUAAAAGACAGAUGAAAACACUGUAUUCACUGCUUCAGCAACGCUGCACUAUUACAAACAUAAGAAAAAAGCUAAAAAUGCCAGAACUUAGGAAGCCCAAACUUUUUGACCUAAACUUUAAAAUCUGCAAAACAUUACUUUGGUAAAAGGUGUUCUGGAUCACAAUAGCAAUGCAGAAAGUACUACAGGUAAAGACGAAGAAGGAUGGAAGUACACAAUUCUAAGUGAUUUUUAUGGCAUACACUUAGCCAGGCCAGCAAAUAAACUGCUAACUGACAAGAAAUUAGCAUGAACUGAGUGAGUUUCUCAAGCCAAACAUUUUGAAAUAAAGGAAUGCUGGUGGGCUGAAUAGGUAACAAAACCACAAUUAGCCACAAAUUUACUGGAUAUUGGUAGGUCUAUAAGGUCUAAAAUGAUUUAACUAUCUUAUUGCAUAGAGGGUGAAACACAACUUCCUGCAGAUGAUACUGAAAAAUCAAUAAUCAUGGAGUAACUAACUGAUGUAAUUUGUCAUAUGGUUCUCUCCACUUUCCCUAAAGUACACUGCAAAAUUAACUUGGGAUUUAAGGGACUAAUAUUACAGUAUCAAGGAUUUUGUUCUAGAAAUUCCCUUGUGGUGCAGAAGGUUAAGCAUUGGGCGUGUCACUGCAGUGUCGAGGGUUCGAUCCCUGGCCUGGGAACUUCCAUAUGCCGUGGGCACAGCCAGAAAAAGAAAAAAAGAAAGAAAGAAAAAAAAA